UACGGGGGGGGGCAAGCGUUGUUCGGAAUUACUGGGCGUAAAGGGUUUGUAGGUGGCUUGUUAAGUCAGACGUGAAAUCCCUCAGCUUAACUGGGGAACUGCGUCUGAUACUGGCGAGCUUGAGUGCAGGAGAGGAACGCGGAAUUCCAGGUGUAGCGGUGAAAUGCGUAGAUAUCUGGAGGAACACCGGUGGCGAAGGCGGCAUCCUGGACCGGUAUUGACGCUGAGGCGCGAAAGCCAGGGGAGCAAACGGG
rnacentral:rRNA from 1 species